GUCUGUCCAACCAAACCCAAUUUGCCCACUAUAAGCUGGUUAAGGAGUGGUAGAGAGAUAAUCCUGAAGGGCUGGUGAUGCCACUAUACGACUCUAAGAUGCAUUACUGAUUAACAAAACACACCCUCUCUCACACUCAGCAGAUGAGUGUACUACAGAGACCACUGAUGAAAAUUCCCUGUGUGUGUGCAUUUUUUUUUGUACCAGCUCAGUAAAUCCCUACCAUUGUGUCGCUGAGUUGUCAUAACGCUGCAGAAAAUGUACAUUAUCCCAGGGGUGUUGGCAGACACAAUAGUCCUUGUCACGACGGUUGAAAGGAGAGGACCAAGGUGCAGCGUGGACCUGAGCCCUAGGACCAUGCCUCAGGACUACCUGGCUUGAUGACUACUUGCUGUACCCAGUUCACCUGGCCGUGCUGCUGCUCCAGUUCCAACUGUUCUGCCUGCGGCUAUGGAACCCUGACCUGUUCACCGGACGUGCUACCUG
rnacentral:lncRNA from 1 species